AGGGAAAUGAGUGACUGUAUGGCCGUUGCUUUUUAAGUUUCAAACAGAUUUUCCAGGCCGGCUGUGCCUGAACCCGUGGCUGUCUCCUGGCCGUUGCUGCCCGCUCCUGGAAGGUGGAGCCACCAGCCUCUCCCUGGAAGGCUCUGCAUAUGAAACCUUGGGCCCACAUCUGGAUUGCUAAGUGCAAGCACACACCAGGAAGCUGGUUUUCCAACCGGCUCACCUGGGCGACGUUCUCCCCGGGGUGUUGGAGUCCACGGGCAUCGCCUCUUGGAAAGCCCAGCAUUUUGCUGCCACUAGCAAACGAAGCCUUGGGGAAAAGUAAUGAAGGCUGCAGGCGUUCGUGACGGACUCGCUCCUGUCUACGGGACAUUGGGGAGAAGAUGCCGGAUAAAACAAUAUAGCAUGUGAAGAAAUAAAUACAGACGGUCCCCAGUGGCCGAGAGUGUCAGGACAAGGACUGCGCGUAAGACAAGCUGUGCUCUCAGCAGCCUGCGACCCACGGAGAGCCCUUUGGAGAAGGGGGGGCGGGGCUGCCCUGAGCAGCAUUCCCGAGACCUAAGAAAGGGCUCUGCUCCCGGAGUGUUUGGGGUGCACACACCACCCUGUGUGAAUGGCUUUCCUUAUCCCCCAACGUCUCAGGGCCUUUUACACGGUGCAUUAUCUCUUGGGGAGGGAUGGAGUACUUCAAGACCAUGUACCCCUCUCCUUUUCACAGUUUUGUGCCAUUAACAAAAGUCAGGAAAUGGGGGAGGUGGGGGAGCUGAUCUUCCUGGUGAGCUCAGGGCUGCAUCUGGGCAGGUGGCAGGUGGAGAGGACAGCAGGCUCCAGGGAGCUCAGAGUAGUCAGGGGCAGAGCUGGUCCCCUCCCCAGCCAUCAGGGGUGGCUGCAGAGAGAACAUGGCAAGAGUAGCCGACAGGCUGGAGUGGGGCCCCCCUCCCAGGACAGUGCUGUCUCCCUCCCCGAAAGGCCUCUGAGGAGCAGACGGAAGCACGAGGCUGGCUGGUCGGUCACAGCGUGGGCUUUGUGCUGAUGCGGCUGCCUGCAUUUCAGUCGCCCCCCUGUCUGUCUCUGGAAGAAUCUUUCCACUUGUUUGGGGAAAUUAGCUUGUGGCAAACGGGGUUUACCAGCUCCGUGGUCCUUGGAGCUGCUCUCAGGCUGUGCGGUCCUCGGGGUGUUUGUUUGGUCAGGAGCUUCCCCGCCUCGCUGGGGCUGAGGACACAGCUCGUCUGCUAGAUGCUUUCAUGCAUGGAUCCCCGGGAGCCAUCUCUCCUGGGCUGGGGAAAGGGACGGGGAAUGGAAAGUCAGGGCCAUCCUCCUAGGUUACCCUCAGGGACAGCAACUCCACAGGGACCUCCUUUCACUCUCUUUGGACCUGGGAGUAGGAUCGGGGCAUCAUCUGGGCAAACAGAUGAUGGAAGUCCUGUGUGAGUCUCCACGAGGCCGAGGCCGACAGGGACACAAGAGGAAGAGCCUCCGUUGCCCCAGGAUAGACCUUGACCCAGAGUCUGACCUCAACUUGUCAGUAAGCAGGCAGUGGGCUUCUGGGAACUUCUGCCUUUUCAGUCCCUUCUGAAUUAUUUUUAAACGAUGCCCCGCCCUCCAUCACCACCCGCAAUUUUGGUCGAUUGUCACUAUUUGAACAGAUGCUGAUAAAUUUGAUCCCCAGCUCUGUGGCAUUUACGAUCUCUUUCCCUUUUCGGUUUCCACGUACUAGAGUGGCUAUCUCUCAGUGUGGUUGGCAGUGACCUGUGUUUUUCAUAUAUGUUUUUGUUUCAGAAUAACUGGGAGAUGAAACAGGAAGCUCUAUGACACACUUGAUCGAAAAUGACACAGACCAAAAAAAAAAAAAAAAAAUCAGGACUCAGCCCCAUUCCAGCGCCUCUACCUGCUGCCUGCUGCCCACGCCGGGAUGAGGUGGCAGGUCUGCCCUGGACCUGACUGAGGUGCGGACUUCAAGGGCCUCUGCAUUUGCUGAUAUGUGUCUGCAGUAUUAUGUCAUGGUCUCGUCUGGCUGGUUUCCUAUGUAUCUGGCUGUCUCUAUGUGUCUUACUCCCUUUUUCUUCAUUAAAAGCAACAUUUUUUAAAAAUGAA